rnacentral:lncRNA from 1 species
UAAGCUUUAAUUUGAUAUAGGGGUUUAGGUAUCUACAGCUUAAACCAGAAGUGCUACAUCGCUCGGACGUGAGACACCCCUGAAGGUAUAUGGUAACCUUAAACUUAAUGAAUACAUAAUUUAUGUAUGUUUUUGAGAUGUAAGCAGCCUACAUCAUAGUCAUGAUCAUGAACUUCCCUUUUUGGCUACUGACAUUUCAAUUUCCAGUAACUUUUGCCAUGGUUUGCAUCCUAAAAACUUUCUUCAGCUCACUUUGCACUUAAGGCUCAUGAAAGACCAUUACAUGCAGAAGUAUUUGCUCAUCAUGUGAUCCAGACAACUUGAGCAUUUGCUACCUGUGAAUGCUUCUAAGUAUCAUUUCUAUAAAAUGGAGGGCUGAUUUUUUUUGAACAUUGAAAUUGAUGUAGGAAGGUGAUAGAUUAUUUUUCAGAAUUUGAUCUUUAUGCACGAUUUUAUUUAAAAAUUUUCAGCUUAUUGUUCUUCACUUCUGUUCCACGAGGAGACAGGCAUCGUGAGUUUCUUGAGAAAAGCAAUUGCCCUGGAUGAGUUUUUAGAUGCCAAGGUUGAGCUGCUUAAAUUUCUUAAAUCCUAUGUCAUGGUGCUUGGGAAGAAAGUAAAUCCUUAUGUUGUGGAUAUAAAGGACAUUUGUGUAAAAAUCUUCUCCCAAGAUCGCAGCAACAAGGCAAAAGUGGAAACUUUCCCUCUCCUUGCCCAGGUAUAUGCCAAGUCGUCACAUUAUUAUGCCCUGCUAUACCACUUAGAGAUAAGUACACUUGCACAUGCAUUUUAAAGACAACCUUAACCUGAAGAAAAUUUGUCUACACAUCAUCUUUAACAUGUUGAGUACAUGCUUUUUUAAUCAUGUGACCAAAUUUUUCAAAAGAGGAGUCCCUUGGUGAUAAAUUUGGGAAAUCUAUCCAAAGCAAGCUCAAAAAUGCCAGGAAUUCCACAAAAUUUUGAUUUUUAGGGUUUUUGUGAAAUCUUGCAUUUUCUUUGUUAUUCCUAUGCAGUAUUUCUAGUGUGAUAAGUAGAGCUCAAACAAAGGCACAGUAGGCCGUAUGUAUGACCCAGUCACAUUUUACAAAAUCAGCCAUUCUGGGACACAUGUUACUCAAUAGGACAUUUCCCUUUGUUAUUCUUACCCAGUAUUUCUAGUGUGAUAAGUGGAGUUCAAAUAAAAGCACAAUAGGCCCUUUGCAUGACCCAGUCAAAUGGUACAAAAUGAGCCAUUCUGGGACACAAGUACAAUAGGCAAUAAAAAUCGUAGGGAUGACCAAAACAAUAUGGAAACUCGUCCAGCGGAUGACUUUAGUUUGACUUAUGAAUUUUCGUAUGAGUUCCAUGCAUUCUGACCACUUGUUAUCCAUUUGGAACUUGUAGAAAAGAGAGAAAGAUUUGCAGCUUUCUUUCGUGAUAAAAUCGUCCUUGUGGUCUCCAUCUUGAAUGACAUGAUGAAUGAAAUCAUUGCAGGCUCAAUUUUCAUUUUGUCAACCGCUGAUGCUCAGUACUGCAUCUGCAUCCGAAAUCAGGAUAUGGCAUUUAGUAAUGUUAACAAUUCAGAAAAACAAGCCAAAUACGAGCAGGAAGAGCGAAAGAGUUCCUGUCAGUCUUCAUGGCAGUUGAAGAGGUUGUACCUGGUUUUUCUGUGUCUGCCAACAGCUACAACUAUGGACAUGCUGUACUGGGAACGUGCUGUUCUGUUGCAACCCCUAGGAUUUCAUGGUAAUGAUUGUUUCUGGUACUGUAUCAUUGCUGUGAUUCAGAAAUAACAGAACCGAAAAACCAUUUGCCACGGACAUCUUCAGCCUUGCUGAUCAAAAUUUAUUUGACAAAAGCUUUUUUCUUUUUUUAGUCUCAACAACAAGAGUAACUCCUUUGAUAAGCACUCUCAUCAUAUGUGAAACUAAAACAUUGUUUUGCCAUAUUGUAUCCACCCCAAAGUGCAUUGCAUGGUAUGUCAAUGGACAAGUAAAAUUUUGUCAGGACAUACUUGCCCAGCUGAGACUUGGUGAAAAACCAAUAAGGAUCCCUGCAAUAGGUCUUCCAAAAUAAAGGCAGGUUAAGGUGGACUGGAACAAGUUGUUUUGUUUAGGAAGUCCCACGGUGCAACUUGCACCCCAGCAUGACUGAUUCUGUACCAUGUGACCAGGUCAUGCAAAGGGCCUAUUAGUAAAACCAAAUGUCAACACUCAAACUAUUAGACUUGAAAUUCAUCUAUUAUCAUUUGUCAUAUAACAUACCGUAAAUUCAGGCAGAUAAGCAGCACCUUUUUACUCAAAAUUUUCCUAAAAAAUCGGGGACACGGCUUAUAUGUGAGAACAUCUGGAUGAUGUGCCAAUCAUUUGCAUAAAUCAACACUUUUCUUCAAAAAAUAAUAAGUUUGUAUGAAAAACAAACAGAAGCGUAUCACCUCGAACUAGGUCAUAUGCUUCUGAAGCAAACUAAUCAGACUUCAUAAAACUAAUAAUAUCAGAGUACGCAUCUAUCAUUGCUUUUUCAAGUUUGGUGGCUCCCAAAAGAGCCGUUCUUGUUCAUAAGCAUAAGCCUACAUUUCUUGCUCUUAAACAAUGUUAAACCUUCAUUAAAAAAUAUUUUAGCCAGUUUAGGGUUGCCACUUUAGACCAACUAAAGGCCCCGCAGCAGAGAGUCUCCAUGCCGGUUCAAAGCUGUUCUUUUCACUGUUUCAAUGAGCUGUGAUCAAAAACUACUUUUGUCCCGUACUCCAUCUCUUGGUGAAGUACCUGGCUACUAAGCUACAAACAAAUGAACAAAAGCACUGUAAGUUGUAGGUAAAACAGGAAUGACAGGAAUGAAAAAAUACUGGUUGAAAAAUACCAGAGAAAGAUUAAACAUAUGUCAAAGUCGGUAGACAUCAUGUCUAUACUAUUGGAGAACUAAAAUUAUUGGUAAGGGUUUCGGUUUGAAGUAUUCUAUGUUUUCAAUGUUAGUGAGUUUUUGAUAAAUCAAGAAAUGUACAUGAAAAGAAUCUUUCUCAAGACUCCACAUGUAAAUAAGUUUGAUUUCUUUCCAAAAACUUUCCGAAAUUUGAGUUACCAAACUUGGGGUCUGGCUUAUCUUCGAGUGGGACUUACAAAUGACAUAGUUCUUAAGGAAAAUGAAGUUCCCAUCACAAAUAAGAAACAGAUUGCAGAGUUGAUGAACAAUCACUUCGUCAAGGUGACGGAAAAUGCUGAUGAUGUAAAGGAAAGUGAUUUUGGAGAAGACUUCGUGAAU